rnacentral:sRNA from 1 species
AAUGAACAUCCUUAAAUGACAUGGACAUAUUGAAUGGAGGGACUAUUUAUGGGAACUAUCGUAUGUCAGCAUUGCGAUCAAAUCAUUGAGCAUUAUGAGCAUGAAAAAGUGGAAGUGCUCUAUGCAUCUUCCUGUGGCUGUCCGUCUUGUGAAGAAGAUAAAUAAAAUGAACCCCCUGCCUCUUUUGCAGGGGGUUCAUUU